rnacentral:rRNA from 1 species
GACGAACGCUGGCGGCGUGCUUAACACAUGCAAGUCGAACGGAAAGGCCCUGCUUUUGUGGGGUGCUCGAGUGGCGAACGGGUGAGUAACACGUGAGUAACCUGCCCUUGACUUUGGGAUAACUUCAGGAAGCUGGGGCUAAUACCGGAUAGGAGCUCCUGCUGCAUGGUGGGGGUUGGAAAGUUUCGGCGGUUGGGGAUGGACUCGCGGCUUAUCAGCUUGUUGGUGGGGUAGUGGCUUACCAAGGCUUUGACGGGUAGCCGGCCUGAGAGGGUGACCGGCCACAUUGGGACUGAGAUACGGCCCAGACUCCUACGGGAGGCAGCAGGGGGGAAUAUUGCACAAUGGGCGGAAGCCUGAUGCAGCAACGCCGCGUGCGGGAUGACGGCCUUCGGGUUGUAAACCGCUUUCGCCUGUGACGAAGCGUGAGUGACGGUAAUGGGUAAAGAAGCACCGGCUAACUACGU